AAAAAAUUAUAUUCGCAAACUCAUAUAAGCUUAGAAAUAUGGUCUAAGCGUUUCUACCAAGUAACCGUAAAAGACUUGACUAUGGGUGUUUUGAUAAAUAAA
rnacentral:ncRNA from 2 species